rnacentral:rRNA from 1 species
AUGCAGGAUAAAAACAUGCUGCUCAACCUCGUACCUGCUGCUAGAAUGAAGUUCACCACGUACGAAAAGGCAUGGGACUUUUACAACAAUUAUGCAAGAUGUGCAGGGUUUGGUAUACGCAAGAGGGCAAAACACAGGACAAAUGCCUACAUUGUCUGCUCAAGAGAAGGGGUCCACAAGCAGGCUGCGUUAGAUUAUCACAGGGUACGUCAGAAGACAUCAAAAAGGAUUGGCUGCAAUGCAAAGAUCAGAGUUAAAAGGAAGGAUGGCAAAUUUGUGAUAGAAAUGGUUCAACUCAACCACAAUCACAAGAUGCUGGAAAGCCCCGGGAUGCUUCUGCACAUGCGAUCGCACAAAAAAGACGAUCCUUUGAUGGACCAGUUAGUGAAAGACAUGCAACUGGACAACCACACACAUGCUCAGAUGAUGUCGACGCUGUCGCGUAUGUCUAGUGGUCUGCAGUAUAUGGGACAUACUAGCCGCGACUGGGUAAACAGGAAACAGAAGUUUGCCAGAGAAGAGUCCGAAGAUGAUGUCAAGAAACUUCUGAAUUUCUUCGAGAAAAUGCAAAAGAUAAACCAGUUCUUCUAUGAUUAUGACAUCGAUGCAGAUAACCGUGUAAGAAACGUCUUUUGGGCGAACGCAAGUUGCAGAGGAUCGUAUGAAGAUUUUGGAGACUGCGUUACAUUUGACACGACUUAUAAAACUAACAAAUUCCACAUGCCUCUGGUAGUGUUUGUGGGGGUGAACCAUCAUCUACAAAGCACCAUAUUUGCUGUUGCACUCGUGCGAGAUGAAACAAUACCAUCAUUUGAGUGGGUUUUCAAAACCUUUCCGAGCUGUAUGAACAACAAGCCGCCAAUUUGCAUCCUCACAGACCAGUGUUCUUCGAUGAAGGCAGCAUUAAAAACUAUCCUCCCACAAACUCUGCAUAAGCUGUGUCGGUGGCAUAUCAUGAAGAAGUACAAGGACCACCUCGCCUUGUUGUAUAAGGCGCAGGAGAAGCUCAAGGACGAACUUAAUGCAGUGCUGAACCACCCACUAAUGUUGUCAGAAUUUGAACGAGCAUGGAAGAACCUCAUUCAGAGGUACAACUUGCAAGACGACGAA